rnacentral:lncRNA from 1 species
AGCAUAGUCGUGAAUGCCUUUCCCCCAUCAGGGUUGUGAAUGUUUUCCCCUAGCAGAUCUCCCCAGCAGAGGUUUGUGUUGAUAGUUUUCCCCAGCGAGUUCCCCAAGUGGAUCAGGUUCGGUGAAAAUUAUCCCCAGUAGAGUUUAUCCUACCUGUGGAUUGGCCGCUAUCCUCAAAAGAGGUGAGCAUUGGUUGUUUCCCGGGCGGAGUCCCCAAGUGGAUUGGAU